UACGAAGGGGCGAGCGUUGUUCGGAUUUACUGGGCGUAAAGGGCGCGUAGGCGGCCCUCCUUGUCGCGUGUGAAAGCCCCGGGCUCAACCUGGGGAAUUGCGCGCGAAACGGGGGGGCUUGAGUUCGGGAGAGGAGCGUGGAAUUCCAGUGUAGAGGUGAAAUUCGUAGAUAUUGGGAAGAACACCGGGUGGCGAAAGGCGGCGCUCUGGACCGAGACUGACGGCUGAGGCGCGAAAGCGUGGGGAGCAAACAGG
rnacentral:rRNA from 1 species